rnacentral:SRP_RNA from 1 species
GCCAGGUGCAGUGGCACAUGCCUAUAGUCCCAGCUACUCGGGAGGCUGAGGUGGGAGGAUCGCUUGAGCCCAGGAGUUCUGGGCUGUAUGCGCUAUGCGGAUCGGGUGUCCGCACUAAGUUUGGCAUCAAUGUAGUGACCUCCCGGGAGCCGGGGACCACCAGGUUGCCUAAGGAGGGGUGAGCUGGCCCAGGUCGGAAACGGAGCAGGUAAAAACUCCCAUGCUGAUCAGUAGUGGGAUUGUGGAGGUGAAUAGCCACUGUGCUCCAGCCUGGGCAACAUAGUGAGACCCCGUCUCU